rnacentral:lncRNA from 1 species
UUGUUUCCUGAUAUUUCUGAUUCUCUGCUUCUUCAGCAGUACCUGCAGAUCUUUGCUUUACAGCAUGUGGAUCUCCGCAGAUUGGCUCUCCAGUUGGUUUUUCCCCUGGAAGUAUAGUACCGGACGUUCAGUUCCUGAACCCUGUUGUGUUAGAAUUGUCUGUUUUGUCAGCAUUCAUCAAACAUAAAUCACGCAUAUUCAUGCAUAUUCAUAAACAUUCAGAUAUUCAUGUUGCAUUUCUUGCCAUAUAUCUUUUGUUUGUCGUGUCUCCUGCUAUGGUGAUAUGGAUCUCUUUAUAGAUCUCCCCAAGCAGAUGUCGGG